rnacentral:rRNA from 1 species
CCAAAACAUCGCCUCUUGACAAAUAUAAGAGGUCCAGCCUGCCCAGUGACAAAUUUAACGGCCGCGGUACCCUACCGCGCGAAGGUAGCAUAAUCACUUGUUCUUUAAAUGAGGACUAGUAUCAACGGCACCACGAGGGCCCAACUGUCUCCUCUCUCCAAUCAAUGAAACUGAUCUCUCCGUGAAGAAGCGGAGAUUUAACUAUAAGACGAGAAGACCCCAUGGAGCUUUAAACCUGACUACACCCUUAUCUAUUAUACCCCCUUAAUCAACAGGACCCUGUCUGUCAGUUUUAGGUUGGGGUGACCACGGAGCACAAAUAAACCUCCAUGAUGAACUGGACUAACCCAUUAUCUAAGAAAAACACCUCAAAGAAUUAGCACACUAACAUAAAAUGAUCCGACACUCGAUCAACGAACCAAGUUACCCUGGGGAUAACAGCGCAAUCUACUUCAAGAGCCCAUAUCGACAAGUGGGUUUACGACCUCGAUGUUGGAUCAGGGUAUCCUAGUGGUGCAGCAGCUACUAAAGGUUCGUUUGUUCAACGAUUAAAACCCU